GAUUUCAACUGAAAAAAGUUAUGAACAACAAGUUGAAUAACUCAUCAAGAUCUAAAACUUUUAUUUUGAUCAUUUCUUCAUCCGAUAAAGUGAUAGUAACAUUGUUCACAAAAUUAACGUAUCUCUUAUCUGGUUUUAUAAACUAUAACACAUAUAUGUAAAAUUUGUGAACAAUGUUACUAACACUUUAUCGGAUGAAGAAAUGACAAAAAUAAAAGUUUUAGAUCUUGAUGAGUUAUACAAUUUUGUUGUUGAUGACUUUUUUCAAUUGAAAUC
rfam:Oryza punctata chromosome 1, whole genome shotgun sequence.